GAUGAAGAACGUAGUGAAAUGCGAUACUUGGUGUGAAUUGCAGAAUCCCGUGAACCAUCGAGUCUUUGAACGCAAGUUGCGCCCGAAGCCACUAGGCCGAGGGCACGCCUGCCUGGGCGUCACACGCCGUUGCCCCCCCAUCUACUCCUUCGGGAUUGCGGGGGGGCGGAUGAUGGCCUCCCGUGCGCCUAGCCGCGCGGUUGGCAUAAAUACCAAGUCCUCGGCGACGCACGCCACGACAAUCGGUGGUUGCGAAACCUCGGUUGCCCGUCGUGUGCGUUCGUCGCGCAUCGAGGGCUCGAAAAAAUGCUCGGCUCCGGCUGGGCUUUCAACGCGACCCCAGGUCAGGCGGGGUUACCCGCUGAAUUUAAGCAUAUCAUAAGCGGAGGA
rnacentral:misc_RNA from 1 species